GUGAAAUAGAUAUUGAUUGGGUUAUCGAUUUUAAAGAAAACAAAACAGUAAAGAGCAAAAACAAGAAUCAAGAAAUAUUAGAAAGGGCAAACAAAAACUCAACUAAUAUACUUAAUAAUUUUAAUGUAGAAAAGGAAUAUUUUAAUAAAAAAAACUGUAAAGAAAAGUGUUUAUAAUUAUGCUGAUGUAAAUACAAAAGAAAAAGAUAGUGUCAUAGGUAAUAGUACCACUACCGAGGCUAUAAAUGAUUACUUUAAUAAAGAUGUAACUGAGGGUAGUUCAACUAAUAAAGUUACGAACGGUAUUUCUAGAAAUGAUUUUAGAAAUAGUAGUUUAACGAAUAAUGUCACAAAUGUUGAACUACUAAUGAAGCCACAAAUAAAUUGUUAACAAAUACCAAUGUCGUAACAACUGGUAAUGAGUUAGAAAUAAAUAACGAAAUAGAUACAAACAAACAAAACGAAAAUGAAAAAUCUAAUAAUUUAUUUUUUAACCUAAUAUAAUUUAACCAUUGAUCAGCAGUUAUCAGUACUAAAAAUAAAUUAGAACCAUCGUUAAAAAAUGAAGAUAAUUAUAUUUUUACUUCACAUUUUAACUGUAUAAAAAGAUACCCCUUAAAACAUGGGGUACUAAAGAAAACAAUAUAUAUAAAACAAAAAAAAUAGAUAUAUGUUGUUUUUAAUAAAUAAUAACAAACUAAUUAUUAAUUUAAAAGGUAAUAUCAUUUAUUACGAUUACAAAACAAAACACUUAUCACAUGAUUUACUUUUUAUCCCAAGUGUACUUUAUUUUACAACCAUCUUAUUAUUUUUAAUAGUUAUUAUAUUAUCAUUAUACUCUAUAAAAAGUCGAGAAAAAUCAAAUAUUAUUAUGAUAUUAAAUAUGUUCUUCUUUUUUUUUAUCAACAUAUUAUAAUUAUAAAAAUGUAAAUUUUAUACGAGAUACGGGCUAUAUGUAUAUAUACUUCUGGGUAGCAGCAAAUAUUUUAAAGAAAAUUCAAGAAAUAAUUACUUUUAUUAUUUAUUUGCAAGUAUCUUUAGGUGAUAUGUAUAUACGGAACCACUUAAGUAGAAUAGAAAUACAAUUUAUGAUUUGUUUUCGGUUGUUUCGUUUUACACAGGAAUAUUUGAAAUAUUUUUGGGGAAUUUCCAAGCCCCUCGAUAUAUUAUACAAGCGUUUGCAUAUUUAUUCAUUUUUAUUGCAAUUAAUUUUACAUCAACCUUUCUUUCGGCACGCUUGUCGGAAGAAAGCUUAUCUUUUCAUGUAG
rnacentral:lncRNA from 1 species